rnacentral:rRNA from 1 species
AGAGUUUGAUCCUGGCUCAGAACGAACGCUGGCGGCAUGCUUAACACAUGCAAGUCGAACGGACUUGUGGAGCUUGCUCUACAAGUUAGUGGCAGACGGGUGAGUAACGCGUGGGAAUGUACCUUUUGGUUCGGAAUAACUGCGGGAAACUGUGGCUAAUACCGGAUGAGCCCUUAGGGGGAAAAAGAUUUAUCGCCAAGAGAGCAGCCCGCGUUAGAUUAGGUUGUUGGUGGGGUUAAGGGCCCACCCAGGCCAACAAUCUAUAAGCUGGGUCCGGAAGAAGGAUUGAAUUCAGCCCACCACCUGGGGAACCUGGAAGAACACCGGGGCCCCCAAGAAACUUCCCCUACCGGGGGAACGGGCCAAGCCCAGGNUGAGGGGGAAAAUUAUUUUGGGUACCAAAUUGGGGGGGGGCAACAACCCCCUGCACUCCCAGC